rnacentral:rRNA from 1 species
CGGCGUGCUUAACACAUGCAAGUCGAGCGAUGAAGCUCCUUCGGGAGUGGAUUAGCGGCGGACGGGUGAGUAACACGUGGGUAACCUACCUCAAAGAGGGGGAUAGCCUCCCGAAAGGGAGAUUAAUACCGCAUAAUAAUCAGUUUUCACAUGGAGACUGAUUUAAAGGAGUAAUCCGCCUUGAGAUGGACCCGCGGCGCAUUCGCUAGUUGGUAGGGUAACGGCCUACCAAGGCGACGAUGCGUAGCCGACCUGAGAGGGUGAUCGGCCACAUUGGAACUGAGAGACGGUCCAGACUCCUACGGGAGGCAGCAGUGGGGAAUAUUGCACAAUGGGCGAAAGCCUGAUGCAGCAAAGCCGCGUGAGUGAAGAAGGUUUUCGGAUUGUAAAGCUCUGUCUUUGGGGACGAUAAUGACGGUACCCAAGGAGGAAGCCACGGCUAACUACGUGCCAGCAGCCGCGGUAAUACGUAGGUGGCGAGCGUUGUCCGG